AGAAAUUUUGUUAAUAAGCUCUAAAGCAUCGGAUCCCAUAAGAAUUUUGAAGUUAAAGAGUGCUUGGGUAAGAGUAGUAGUAGGAUGGGUUAUCCUCUGACAUGUCCUUUUGUUGUAUCCC
rnacentral:rRNA from 1 species